rnacentral:lncRNA from 1 species
CCCCAGAUGUUGCGGCCGGUGCGGCCGGCCCCCCCUGCACCCCCCACGCUACGCCACUGGGUUUGAGGCUUUCAUUCCAUAAAACGCCAGCUAUGCCCCAGUCCAUUUGUAGACACAGAAUCUUCCUGAUGGCUAGUGACAGAGAGGGGGCCAUAGCUGUGUUCUGCAUGCAAAGAGUCGCAUGUUAAAUCCGUGGCAACUCCAGGUAGGAAGAUGCCAGGGAUUCCUGACAGAGAGCCACUGCCCUACCAGUGUUUACAAAACUUGAGGUGGGUGACUAAGCAUCUGACAAGGUACAAGGUAACUUCUUAUGUUCCUAAUAGGCAACUAACAGAAUGAACUAUUUUCUGUGCAGACAGGGUGAACUACUCUACAGCCCAGCCCACCCACCUCACGUAAGCCGGGUUCAAUUACCCGGAUGCGGAAGUGCUUGCUCUUUUCUCUCUCGGGUGCUGCGGCCGAGAAGUUCAGCAUCUAGGUAAC